rnacentral:rRNA from 1 species
GACGAACGCUGGCGGCGUGCCUAAUACAUGCAAGUCGAACGCACUCUCGAGUAGCUUGAUGGUCUUUGCUCCUCAUUGAUCAACUUUUGAGUACGUGGCUAACCUGUGUGUAAGACUUGGGUAACUUCCCCUAACGUGGGCGAUAACCUUUGGAUACAUAUGCUAAUAUCGCAUAAUACUUAACACCGCUUGGUGUAUCGUUUAUAGAUGGUUUCGGCUCUCACUUUCGGAUGGAUCCGCGGUGCACUAGCUAGUUGGUGAGGUAAAGGCUCACCAAGACCGCGAUGCAUAGCCGACCUGAGAGGGUAAUCGGCCACACUGGGACUGAGACACGGCCCAGACUCCUACGGGAGGCAGCAGUAGGGAAUCUUCCGCAAUGGACGAAAGUCUGAUGGAGCAACGCCGCGUGAGUGAAGAAGGUCUUCGGAUCGUAAAACUCUGUUGUUGGAGAAGAAUGAAUGUGAAAGUAACUGAGCAGGUAGUGACGGUACCCAACCAGAAAGCCACGGCUAACUACGUG